rnacentral:rRNA from 1 species
GACGAACGCUGGCGGCGUGCCUAAUACAUGCAAGUAGAACGCUGAAGGAGGAGCUUGCUUCUCUGGAUGAGUUGCGAACGGGUGAGUAACGCGUAGGUAACCUGCCUGGUAGCGGGGGAUAACUAUUGGAAACGAUAGCUAAUACCGCAUAAUAGCAGUUGUUGCAUGACAACUGUUUGAAAGGUGCAAUUGCACCACUACCAGUUGGACCUGCGUUGUAUUAGCUAGUUGGUGGGGUAACGGCUCACCAAGGCGACGAUACAUAGCCGACCUGAGAGGGUGAUCGGCCACACUGGGACUGAGACACGGCCCAGACUCCUACGGGGGGCAGCAGUAGGGAAUCUUCGGCAAUGGACGGAAGUCUGACCGAGCAACGCCGCGUGAGUGAAGAAGGUUUUCGGAUCGUAAAGCUCUGUUGUAAGAGAAGAACGAGUGUGAGAGUGGAAAGUCCACACUGUGACGGUAUCUUACCAGAAAGGGACGGCUAACUACGUG